GCUGUUCUUGUAAUUUGAAGAAACCUAUGAAAGGGAGAAAAGAGCGAUUGGGUAUCUACAUAAGCAGCUUUCUUACUCUUGGUACCUCAUCUUCACUGGAAAUUUGUUCGUGUUGUUGAAAAGAAACAGCAUAAAAACGAGCUCAACGGUAGUGUUGUUUGGCAUGGCACAAGAGUGCCGACAUUAAAUGAAUAACUAAAACAAAAAAUACAAAACCUGUUUAAUAUUAAAGAAUUGUUCACUUGAAUGCACUUUGGGUUGGUGUGCGUAGUAUGUUUCUUUCCUUACAUUUUUCUCAGUACUGACCCCAAAAUCCACUGCUUUAGUGGAUUAAUAGUUAAACAGUCCAACUUGAGACUUCAUUACUCAGUUGUUAUUCAGCUGAAGCAUAGCAUACUUCCUUAUCUUGGAAACAAGAAAACCCUAUGUUUCUUGAAAACCAUAGAAACCUUCUUAGCAAUGAACAACUUUUAUCUCCCUUCCUUGUGAGUGGCAGAUGUUUGGGCUAUGUCUCUCCUUAGUUAAACUGUUCACAUUUCUUAUUGUAAACAGUUGGUUCUUUAAGAUCUACACUCUUGACUAUAAAGGAAUUGCUUACCUUACUUUACUUCUCCUCUGCUGUUUUUCUUCCUCUCAAUUUCACCUUAGAGAUGAUGAUUUAACACAGAAUUCUAGUGUAAUUCUUACGCUGGUAGUUGUGUAUUGAGGUGGAGUUAAUGUAGCCCUUCAUUACAAAAUUGACUGGUAACUACAAAGGGAUGUCAUAUUAAUGAAUGCUUCAUAUUCUGAAAGUGAUAAGCUGUUGAGUGAUCAAGAAGUAACUAAUUAUCAGUCUACUACUUGAGAUAUGUUUUUGUCCUGCAAUUCCAGUAUUUCCUCUUAUUCCAGCUGACUUUGAAGUUUUCAGCAUCAAAACAAAGUUUAAAAGGUUAGGGGAAAAAAUGUGUUUUAGAAGUAGAAAUGCUCUUCUGUGUACACCACUUCAGAAGAUAUACUACCAUCUACAGAACAUGCCAAAUAACCUCGUUAGACAUUGCUGCUGACAUUCUUCAGAUUUUCAAGAAUCCAUGUCUGUUACAAUUUCAGAGCAAGCUACGUCUUUGACCUAUAAGUUAGUCUCUCAGAAGACUGCAUUUUCAACUGACAAAACCAAGUCUUUACUGCUUUCAGAGCGGAACCGUGUGAUUCUCUCACUGCUUAACUGCAAACCUCGUCCCAGCACUCUGCCCAGCAGUCAGGCCUUCUGCAGAAAAAAAAAUUGCCUGUUACUAAGUUCUUCGGUUUUUUGCUGUUUUUUCCCCAGCCACCUUCUUGGGUCCUCAGACCAGUGUAAAAGUGUAGUGAUAGAGAUUUCUCUAAAGUGUUUAUCUUUUCCAUAUGACAUGUUUUAAAAAAAAGAGGGGGUGGCAAAAAGACAAUAAUUAUGUUUUCCAUAUUUUUCUGCCCAAAUUUUAGGUUUCUUGGUAAGUUUAGAUAACUCUCUUUGUUCCCAGCCCAGGUUAGAUGAACUGAACCAUUGUCUGAACUGCUCAAUCUUGAAUCCCAUAGGUGAUAAUUGUUUUUUUUUUUUUUCUUUCAAAUUCCCUCUGUUGCUCCUACAACACCUUAACUUAGUUGUAACUAAUAUAUACAUUUCCUAAGUGGAUUUGUGAUAUAUUUAUUUUAUUGCCCUCGGAUUUUAGAUAACACUAAUAAAUUAAUUCGGAAACUUUCUAUGUUCUGUAUAUAGCUCUUACCUGUACAAUUUAUUCUUUACUGGAAAAAAGCCAUUUAGCUUCUUCACAAAAGAGUUUAGCUUUAAUUCUGUAUAUUAUUCGGGCACACUGAAAGGAUAAGAAAGAACAUGACUUUUAAUUCUAAAGUUGAAUAAAUAAUUUGACUACUUAAAAAAAAAAAAAGGUUAAACUGAAAUAUUAUUGGGAAUUUCUUCCAAAACGAAGCUGCUGUUAUGUAUUGAUUAGUAACUGAAUUUCUAUUCAGGUUCAUAUUCAGCAGAUGAAAGUGUAUGUAAGCAUGUUUAAUUAACUGGUUUAUCAAAUACAGUUAUUUUUCUGAUAAUUUACUUUUUGAAGUAAGUUCACAUGGUUUUAAAAUCAUAGAAGGUGAGGCCAUUUAGUAAAGCAAGCAAUAAAAUACAUUCCAACUUCA